rnacentral:rRNA from 1 species
GGAUUUUGUGUAGAUAUAUUAUAAAAAUUGAAUGAUUGUAUAUGUUAAAUAAAAAAAAUUAAAUUGUUUUGUUAUAUAGUAUUAAGGGUAUAGAAAUAAUGUUUAUUGAUAGUACUGUGAAGGUAUAAAUAUAUUUAUUUUUUAGUAGUAAUAAGUGUGCGUACCUUUUGUAUAAUGGGUUAAUUAUAUAACUAUUUUUUAUAAAGUAAUCUCGAAGUAAUAAGAUUUACUUAUUAUAUUUGUGUUGACGUGGUAUAGUCAUAUAUUUAAUAGUAAGUGGUAAUGAUAUGUUUAUCGAUUAUUGUGAUAGCUAGUUUAUUAAUUAAGGGUAUUUAGUACUAAAAUAUUAAUUAUAUAAUUUAUAAUUUAUAUUAAUAUAAGUGAUUAUAUAAGGGAUAAGCUUUAUAUUGAGAUAUAGAAUUUUUUAAAUAAUUAAAUAAUUUAUGUAGAAUUAAUAAUGUUUUUCUUUAAAAGUAGUUUAAAUUAUUAUGUUUUUUAUAUUCAUGUUUUUAUUUAAUAAAUUUUUGUGAAUUAAUACAAUUAAAUUUAAUGUUAAUAUGAGUAUUGUUUAUUAUCAUAAUUGUUUUGUAUAAUUUAAUUUAGUAAAUUAAUAAAAUUGUUAUAUAAAGUUAAUUAAAAUAAAGGAAUUCGGCAAAAAUUAAUCUCGCCUGUUUAUCAAAAACAUGUCUCUGUGUAAACUUUAAAUGCAGAGUCAUACCUGCUCGGUGAAUUUUUUUAACAGCUGCGGUAUUUUAACUGUACUAAGGUAGCAUAAUAAUUUGCCUUAUAAUUUGAGGCUAGAAUGAAUGGUUUGACGAAGGUUUGACUGUCUCUAUUUUAUUUUUUAGAAUUUAAUUUUUAUUGUGAAAAAGCAUAAAUUUUUCAAAGGGACGAGAAGACCCUAAUGAGCUUAUAAUUAUAUUAGUGUAGUACUAAUUUUAUUUGUAUUAUAUUAUAUAAAUUUUAAUUGGGGUGAUUAAGGAAUAAAAAUAAUAUAGUAACUUCCUUGAGAUAUAAUAUAUUUUUAUGAAAUAACCAAUAGUAUAUAUUGCUUAUAAUAUAGUUACCAUAGGGAUAACAGCGUAAUUUAUUUAGAGAGUUCUUAUUGAAAAAUGAGAUUGCGACCUCGAUGUUGGAUUAAAGUUACCUUAAGGUGCAGAAGCUUUAAUAAGGUGAAUCUGUUCGAUUUUUAAAACUUUACAUGAUCUGAGUUCAGACCGGCGUGAGCCAGGUUGGUUUCUAUCUUUUGAAUAUGAAAGUUGUUUUUCUUAGUACGAGAGGACCAGAUAUUACUAAUUGAUAUAAUUAUAGUAAAUGAGUUUUUAUGGUGUAAGAAGCACGUUAGAUUUUCAAUCUUUUAGUACAUAAGUUAAUGUUA